AACGCGAUUGGUGCCGAUCACAACCCUGGUGAUUCCGCAACACAUAGCCGGAGCGUGCGAGAGGAGCCAAACUGCAACUCUUAACACAUGUUUAAAUAACCAAUUCAGACGGACCGUAUUUAGAUUUAUCGAUUUAAAAACGAGUGGAAGACGGCGGCGGCGUUCAACUGAUGUGACGUCGACAUGAAAUCUUGCUAAAGGUCUCACGAGAAAGCUAGCAGUACCGAGCCGGCGAAUUUAAGCAGAGUCAACAUAGCUUUAGCCUGUUAGCUUCUGGUUAGCAAAGAGCCGUUAAUUCGUCCGUUGUCGGCGUACACCUGCGUCCCACGCUGUCCUGCGUACAACUACCUGUCAGCUUACCGUGGACUUUAUUCAGCAUUUGACUCCGUACUUUUAUUUAAAAAAAAAAAUUAACGCGUGGGAGCAGACCGGGCGGAGGAACAGGAUACUGCCCGGUUAAAGGUUAGGAGCAACGGGAACAAGCUGUGUCCUCGAGCUACCGUUAACCAUGGACAACGCUCACACGAAGACGGUGGAGGAAGUUUUUAGCUUUUUCAACGUGAACGAGAGCACAGGCCUGAGUUUAGAAGAUGUGAAGAAACAGCGGGAACGAUAUGGAGCUAAUGAAUUACCGGCAGAAGAGGGCAAAUCUCUGUGGGAGCUGGUAAUUGAACAAUUUGAAGAUCUGCUUGUGAGGAUCCUUUUACUUGCUGCUUGCAUAUCCUUUGUGCUGGCCUGGUUUGAAGAGGGAGAAGAAACUGUCACAGCCUUUGUGGAGCCUUUCGUUAUCUUGCUUAUUCUUAUAGCAAAUGCCAUUGUAGGAGUCUGGCAGGAACGAAAUGCAGAAAAUGCCAUAGAAGCUCUAAAGGAAUAUGAGCCAGAGAUGGGGAAAGUGUAUCGCCAGGACAGGAAAAGUGUCCAAAGAAUUAAAGCCAGGGACAUUGUGCCUGGUGACAUCGUAGAAGUGGCUGUUGGUGACAAAGUGCCUGCAGACAUCAGACUGACUUCUAUAAAGUCAACCACUCUGAGGGUGGACCAGUCGAUUCUGACAGGAGAGUCCGUAUCUGUGAUCAAACACACAGAUCCGGUGCCAGACCCACGAGCUGUCAACCAGGAUAAAAAGAACAUGCUCUUUUCUGGUACAAACAUCGCCGCAGGUAAGGCUGUAGGUGUGGUGGUGGCCACAGCCGGGAACACUGAGAUCGGGAAAAUCCGAGAUGAGAUGGCGGCCACCGAGCAGGAGCGCACGCCCUUGCAGCAGAAGCUGGAUGAGUUUGGGCAGCAACUAUCCAAGGUCAUCUCACUGAUCUGCAUUGCUGUUUGGAUCAUCAAUAUCGGACAUUUCAACGACCCUGUCCACGGUGGUUCCUGGAUCCGAGGGGCAGUCUAUUACUUCAAGAUUGCAGUGGCUCUGGCAGUCGCUGCUAUUCCAGAGGGUCUGCCUGCUGUCAUCACUACCUGCCUGGCUUUGGGAACACGCCGCAUGGCCAAGAAGAAUGCCAUUGUCCGCAGUUUGCCCUCCGUGGAGACCCUUGGCUGUACAUCUGUCAUCUGUUCCGACAAAACGGGCACUCUGACCACCAAUCAGAUGUCUGUCUGCAGGAUGUUUAUUAUCGAUAAAGCAGAAGGGGAGCACUGCACAUUAAAGGAAUUCACUGUUACCGGCUCCACAUACGCCCCAGAGGGAGAAGUCUUUCACAAUGGUAAACCAGUAAAAUGCUCCCAGUAUGAUGGCUUGGUUGAGCUGGCCACUAUCUGUGCUCUAUGCAAUGACUCAUCACUGGACUAUAAUGAGACAAAAGGUGUAUAUGAGAAGGUGGGAGAGGCCACAGAGACUGCUCUGACAUGUCUGGUGGAGAAGAUGAACGUGCUUGAUACGGACAUUAAAAGCUUGUCCAAAGUGGAGCGAGCCAAUGCCUGCAACUCUGUGAUCAAGCAGCUCAUGAAGAAGGAAUUUACUCUGGAGUUUUCCAGAGACAGGAAGUCUAUGUCUGUAUACUGCACUCCAAAUAAAAUGAGGUCUCCUUUAGGCAAGAUGUUUGUCAAGGGUGCCCCAGAGGGAGUUAUUGACAGGUGCACACAUGUCCGUGUGGGCAGCAGCAAGGUGCCCAUGACCCCUGCUAUCAAGGAAAAGAUCAUGUCUGUGAUUAGAGAGUAUGGGACUGGCAGAGACACUCUGCGCUGUCUGGCUCUGGCAACGCGAGAUAACCCUGCAAACAAAGAAAGCCUUGUAUUGGAGGAUUCCUCUCGCUUUGUGGAAUAUGAGACUGAUCUAACAUUUGUGGGCUGUGUUGGCAUGCUGGAUCCUCCCAGAGCAGAAGUAGCAGCUUCUAUUAGGCUUUGUCGUCUUGCUGGCAUCAGAGUAAUUAUGAUCACUGGAGACAACAAGGGUACGGCAGUGGCUAUUUGCAGACGUAUUGGCAUUUUUGGAGAAGAUGACGAUGUUUCCAGCAUGGCUUUCACUGGCAGAGAGUUUGAUGAUCUCUCACCUGCUGCGCAAAGGGAUGCUGUGGUCAAGGCUCGCUGCUUUGCUCGUGUUGAACCCGCGCACAAGUCCAAGAUUGUCGAGUAUCUGCAGUCCUAUGAUGAGAUUACAGCUAUGACUGGCGACGGUGUGAACGAUGCUCCUGCUCUGAAGAAGGCUGAGAUCGGCAUUGCCAUGGGCUCAGGAACGGCUGUGGCUAAAACUGCCUCAGAGAUGGUGCUGGCUGAUGACAACUUUGCCACCAUCGUAGCUGCGGUGGAGGAAGGCAGAGCCAUUUACAACAACAUGAAGCAGUUCAUCAGAUACCUCAUCUCCUCCAAUGUUGGGGAGGUUGUCUGUAUUUUCCUGACAGCAGCUCUGGGUUUCCCUGAGGCUCUCAUCCCCGUCCAGCUGCUCUGGGUCAACCUGGUUACCGAUGGUCUGCCUGCCACUGCUUUAGGAUUCAACCCACCUGACUUGGAUAUUAUGAGCAAACCUCCACGGAAUGCCAGGGAGCCCCUCAUCUCCGGAUGGCUUUUCUUCAGAUACCUUGCCAUUGGGUGUUAUGUUGGAGCUGCUACAGUUGGUGCUGCUGCUUGGUGGUUUGUUGCUGCUGAGGAUGGACCAAGGAUCACCUUUUACCAGCUGAGUCAUUUCCUGCAAUGUGGCCCUGAAAAUCCAGACUACCAGGGUGUGGACUGUAAGGUGUUUGAAUCCCCUUACCCCAUGACUAUGGCCCUGUCGGUACUGGUUACUAUUGAAAUGUGCAACGCCCUCAACAGUGUGUCAGAGAACCAGUCGCUGCUGCGGAUGCCUCCUUGGGAGAAUGUGUGGCUGCUGGGUGCCAUCUGCCUCUCCAUGUCCCUUCACUUCCUCAUCCUCUAUGUGGAGCCUCUUCCAAUCAUCUUCCAGAUUACACCUCUCAAUCUGACCCAGUGGUUAAUGGUGCUGAAGAUCUCGCUGCCUGUCAUCCUGCUUGACGAGUUCCUCAAGUUUGCCUCCAGGAACUACCUGGAACGCGGCAGAGAGCUGGAGAGGCCCGCCAGCUCCAAAGGCUGCUCCCUGUUUGCAUGUAUGGAGGGCAUCUCCUGGCCAUUCGUGGCCAUCUCCCUCCCUCUGGUCCUCUGGAUCUACAGCUCUGACACUAACCUGGCUGAUAUGUUCAUGUCUUGACUGACUUUAGCACAACCAUAACUUUUUUUUUUCCAUUCCUCCCCCAACCCUCACCCACUGCCAUCACUUCUCCUUGUGCAUCUCUCUGCCUUCCUAAUUGUCCAUAGCUACCGCACGCGCGUGUGUGCGUUUGUAGAGUUAGUUGUGUGUGAUUGUGUGAAUGUGUGAGCUUGAGUGCAUGAGAAGAACCAACUGUAAAUCAUGAAACGCAACAAAUAAUAUAAAGAGUUAACAUUUAAGUUGCCUGUUUGAGUUGGGAAUGGCUGAGGCUUGAAGUGACUCCCAUAGCUUUGGACUUUGUUGCUGGUUUAAAAGAAAAAAAUAGUUGUGCCAGUUUUUUUUUUUUGUCAUGUUGCCUUGCAGGUAUGUUUUAAUUAUUAGGAUCUGCAUUCUGUCCCAUGUCACUACUGUUAUAAUUUUGUUUAGGUUCCUGUUCUUCGGAACACAAAUUGAAGAUAUCAAAUCAGUUGAUCUGUACAGAGAUUGAACACUAUUUUAUGCAUUUUUUUUAAUGGCUUUGUAAAUUGUUUAACCAGUGUGGCUUAGAGAUACCGCCUUGAUUUAUUUUUUGUUUACCAUUGUGUCUUUAGUAUAAAUUCAAAACUGUCUGAGAGGACAAGCUCCAUUUGGCAGACAAGAAACAAGGGAAAGGUUUGGGAUGCUCGGCUUAAAGAAACGGCAAAACAAAACAGGGAAACAAAAAAGUGCUGCAUGUCCUGUGACCAUGCAUGAAUUAUACCCAGUUUCAUUUCUAAUUUAAGAUGUGUACGUCCCCCUCCAUUAUUAAAGCAUAAACAGCUUUGUGUAAUCAUUUUUUUUUUUAAUAUUGAUUAAAAUUAAGUCAUUUUUUUCUGCACUGGGCAGAGCACAGCUACCUCAAUAUGAUGAAAAAAAUGCUCUUUUUUUAUUUUUUUGCUCAUCUCGAGAUGAUUCCCUCAACACGUCUUGUUAAAAGAUAACAUCUGAGGUGUGCCCCCUACCUUCUUGUGCAGAAAACAUAAAAACAUCUUCCUUCCCCUUUAACGUUUUUUUUUAAAGUUGUGUCUUGUUUGUAUUGAUUGUGACAUUCUUUAACUUAAUUUACAUUAGCGACAGAGCUGGGUGCUGUUUGUUGUUACCAUCUCCGUAGUGUUUGAUUCAAAGGACAGUACAAAAUAAAAUACUAAAACAAGUGAUCCAAAUGAACAUUGAUUGCAGAUCAAAACCCCAAAUGUGUUGUCGUUUUUUUUUUUUAUUCUACACAAGAAAUACACUCAUAUCACCCUUUGAAUCAAGUGUUGUCUGUCUUCAUUUAUGUUUGAUGCUGUUUUAUAAUUUCCAGUGUUCUUGUGUGUAUAUAUUACCAUAAUUUAAGAAACAUCAAAGCUUUAGGUUUUCAGACUCGAGAGUAGAGACGUUUGACCAUUAACUUGAAUUUGUGGAUAUUUUCCGAACUAAAGCAUUUUUUUAGGUAGAAGCCUGUUUGUUCUCACUGCCUGUUUGCCCUAACAAAGGUGUGCUUCUUUUUCUUUAAAUGCCUUCCAUUGGCUCUCCUAUCAUUAGAGUCGGUUUUCAUAAAAACUUGGCAAUCAGAGCAGAAUGAGAAGUUGGAGAAUCAUCUUGCCACUAGGUGUGUGCUCACUGCUUAUACGCAUAAUUUUGCUCACUGCAGACACCGUGACGACCAGCAGCAUACAUACACACGGGUAAUAAGAAGGUGUUUUCUAAAUGUGUACAAUUAUCCUGCUAGUUGCCCCCAAUUCCCCCUCCCACAGUAUAACGCAAACAGUGGCACACAACUCUGUAUAUGCUAAUGUAGGACAUUGAUCCAGCUAUAUGUGCAGGGAUGUCCUCAAAACAUCCCCUCCUGAAUCCUCCUUGCAUGAAAAUCUUCCAUAAGUAGCUCGUCAGUCGCAUAAGAUCAGUUUUGCAGAAGAAAAAAUUGUGUUGAAUGGUCUUAGCUGUACAUCAGUGUACAAAAAACAUUCAUGCAUGCUUUUCAGCUGUAUGUAGGCUUUACAAAUUUGUAUUUAUAGAUUCUAAUGUAUAAUAUACUCAAAAUGACGUGAGAGUUUUAAGAAGGAAAAAGAAAAGUUGUAAAAUCACUUUUUAUUGUAAUGGUUUUGGGUCAUUUGCACAAUGUUGGACAUGGAUAAAUGAUUCAUGCUGAACUUGACUGUGCUUAACUUUAGCUUUUUUUUUUUUUUUUAAAUAGCAUUUUGUUUUUUAACUUAUUUUUAUCACAUCACCUAAUGUGAGAGUAUCGCUCACUCUGCCAGUUAACUCCAUAAUUAGCCGUUAGAGAGUUUAGGUUAACAGACUGUCGCUCAUUUCUCAGUGAAACCUGCAAUACAGCUCCUUUUAAUUUUUCUUAUGCCUUGACAUUCCUAUAAUUAUGUAUCUUUAUCAACUGGUGUAAAACUGUGAUUUAAUGUGAGGGACCCUGUAUGGUCAUCUCCUGACACCCGGUUGGAAAAAAAAAAACGAUAUAACCAUAUGUAAACGUCAAUCAUUGCUGAAGGCUGAUAAUGAUUGUACAGUACAUACAUUACUGAGGUUGUUGUUUC